AUUUGCAGCUAGAUGAAGCAAGCAAAGCGAAAUCCCAGAAUAAUCACAUCUUUUGGCUCUGCAACUAUGUGAUAGUGAGAAAUUGAAGUCUCUCUCCCCUGCUCCUCACACACACAAAUGAACUGCAGUGAACACUUGGCGAUGUGGUGUGGAAUGAGUAUGUCUAGUUCCAAGAUGAUCAGAAACUUACCUUGGAGGAUUGCAUGCAGUGCAGGACCACAUAGGUGCGUCAGACUGUCAUUUUUUCUGCUUGACUUAAUGUUCUCUAAACAGUGUCAUGGCACUUGGUAUAACCGGCAUGAGUUCUAUGUAUACAGCUCAUGGGAAUACUCCCCAGGGAUUUAUGCAAAGACAGGGUCAAAGGGAAGAUGCAUUUGCCCAAAGAAGUUCUGGUCCCUGGCAGCAUGGUGCCAGUGGAGCUGUGCUCCCAGGGAUGACUUCUCAGGCUGUAGUUACUCCUCGGACUCCAGCCAGGCAGGGAACCCAGAAAUAAUGAUACAGACACGUGUGGUAUUAUAUUUUUCUGAGAAUCUCCAUUCAAGCCUUGGCCCACUCCUACUUCAGCCAGUCUCCACUCCUACCCACAAUGAGUAGCCCAUACUCUAGGGAGGGGCCUCUGUGGGGACUACCACUGCAGAGGACCAAGUGCUGCAUAAAUGGAUUUGGGGGCGCAAUAUAAGUCUCACCUUGUACUUUGGCCCUUACUUAAACAAACCUCUCAUUUAAGUCAAUAGCAGAGUGACAGUACAAACUGAGGGAGCCCAUUCUAUGCCAGCCUCUCCUGACACAGCAAUAACAUAGUUACGGCGCUGUACCUUGUGUUUUCUUCCAGGGUGAGUCAAUGUCUGGCCUGCAUAAGAGAAAGAGGAGUUUCUCCUUUUAAGAGGAACCCUUAUUUAUCAAAUUUAUGGACAGACUUCCACAUGUCCUGGACUGGAUACAGGGUGCUUUUAUUUGGAAAAAAUGGUAUGUUAGAUUUACCUUUACUUACAUAUACUUUUUCAACAGCAAACACCACUGAAGCCACAUGCAUGGAAACUAGCAAAAGAAAAACCUGUGAAUCACACUCCAUUGCACUACUAGAAGACACCCGAGCAAUUUUCAUCUUCCCAUGGAUGUUUUCUUCUUACACUUUUCACUCGGUAUUUCUACUCAUGGAGAUUCCCUUCCUAUUUGUUCCAGAGACCUCUGUUGGCCACACAGCAAUACUUCACUUGCCCACGGGCUGAACAAAAUUAGUACUGACGAAAGAACUGAAAGAUUAAAGAACAAGAUGGAUAGCAAAGGCAUGAACAUGACGUAGCAGUUCUCUGUGUGGGCUUUUUUACAUAGGUUCUUGUUUUAAUAGCUGUAACCCCGCCACACACACCUUUUCUCUUAUUGAAGUAUAGCUUGCAUAUUGGUGUGCAGGACAAGUAUACAAGAUGGAAAGGAGUUUGUGAUAACUGGCAGGACAGCUGCAUAAUUAUUGUUUGAAGAAUUAUAAUAGUUCUGAUCGGAUCUAGACCUUUAAAUGAGUUCUACAAUUUAAAAAAAGUUAACCCUCAAUUAAAGAUUUUUGUGCUGUUUGGAAUUGUUCCAUUUUACGUUUAGU
ensembl:lncRNA